CCAAAUUCAGAUAAAUCAUUCUUGUUGCUAUGUCACAACGGUUUUACAGUCUAGUUCAAACUCUAUUGAAUGUGCCUCACAUUUGUACACUCAUUUCUUGAUUUCCAUAAGCUCCACAGACACAUAGAGAAGAUCAUUUGAUUCUCAUUAGUUAGCAGAUGCAAAAGCUCAAAAAACAACCCUUUAAUUUGAAAUCAAUAAAGUGAUUAAUAAUUGCUUGAACUUUAAGCCAUAAACCAGUAUUUUCCGAGACCAAUUUUGCAGCAUUGCAUGUUAGCAUGAAAAGCAAAGUUGUUUCAGGUUCAUAAUCGCGUUCCAAUCUCCUGUGACAAGCAUAGCCUUGCUUUCCAACACCUUAACCCUUUGAAUUGUUGUCACAAAACAAGAAGAAUAACUUAACUUGUUUUCUUUUUCUUAAUUUUGUUUUUUUCUAUGGGAGAAAUUGCCUCCAAAUUACUACAAUUUAUAGAAUUAGCAAUCAAAGUGAUGGGAACUACUAUUAAUUCAUAAAAUAAAAAAAUAAAAAAACAAAUGGAUAGGUGCAUUAUUGGGACGAUCUUUUGGUCAUAUGUUAUUGGUCAUGAAUUUCUUUUUCUAUAAAUAAGCAACAACAAAAAAAAACUAACAAUAAAAUGAAGAAUCUUGGAUAGAAUUGGGACGGGGUGUACACUUAUUUAAAUAUUUCAAACUUUUUAAACAAACAUUAAACAUUUCAUUGAAAAAUCUCGUUAUAGGUAUUUAACGAAUUUUAAUAUUUUUUCUUUGUUUUUUUUAUAAUUAUGACGUCAUCUCUUCACUCUAAUUUAAUAUAUAUAUUUCAUCUUUUAUCAAAAAAACAAUUUCAUGUAUUAUAUACAUACAUUGUUACAUGCCUACACAAAAUUCGGAUUAAGCUCCUCUAAAUAUGACUUGAAUUUUGUUUGUUUUUUUCAAAAAUAAAUAUCAGCAAAUGAUAAUUAUAUUCUUAUUGAAAUUAGAAGUUAGCUAUGAAUAUGUCUAAUUUAGCCUUAGAUAAAAGUUAAUGAUAUUUUAAUUUGCAGAAAGAAAACGUGAUUGCUCACGGGACAGGGCACGGAGAGAUGGUCACGUGACCACAUAAUGUGUUUGGUCUAAUUUUCUCCGUUAGCCACUUUUCACUGUCUCUUUCUUCAUUGAAGAAGGAUAAGAUGAGUCAUUGCGUUUUUGUUUUUAUUUUUCUAUUUCUUUCUUUAUUUGUUCUCUUACAAAACAAAACGUCAUUGCAUAGAUCAGCAUACAACAUGUAAUCAAAGCUGCAUUUUGUUGCGAUUGCUGUCUAAAUUCAUCCCACAUAGUCAAUGUUGCGUCACAUAACAAUUUAUAAUAAUCAAAAUUAUAAUUUUAUAAUAUAUAUAUAUAUCACUGCAUUUCUGAAUUUAAAUGAACAUGUAUAUAAUUUAAAAAUUAAUGGUGCAAAUUAAAUAUAAUAUAGAAAAAAUAAUUUAAUAAAAAAAAUUAAAUACUAAUCGAAAAAAUGUUGAACAUAAUAGAUCGCAGACAUAAUUUAGUAAAAAAUAAUUUAUAUAUUUUAGAAGUAGAAGUUAUUUAUAGGUAGUCGUGGAAGAAGCUAAAAGAGUGGUAAGAGAAAGACCGACGUGGCGAGCAUGUAGGUAAAGAGAAGAAAGAUUUCGAUAGAGAUCGUACGGUGGGAAGGUAAUUAGAUGCAGAGAGCGUGCAUAGCAUACGAAUACGAUGAGUUGUUGUGUGCUUUUCUUUUAACUAACUACCCCCACUCUCAGAAUCAAUCUAGUCUCAAGUCUCACAGACAUAAAAACAAACACAAACGCUAACCGUGCAUAGCAUACGAAUACAAGAAGAUGGCGUUGGCUGUUCCUGCUGUUCCUUUCACGUACGGUGUUCACCUUCUUGGUCUUGUCGCCAUCGUAUUAGUGUUGCUUUGGAACUUACAUUUCAGGGGUGGUUUGGCUUGGAAUUCUUCCAACAAGGCUCUCAUCUUCAAUGUACUACUACUCUCUCUCUCUCUCUUUAUUCUUUUUUAACUUCGUCGAUUUCGUAUUAACCGUUUUUAGGUUUUGUGUUUCUCCUUGUUCUGCAAAAUUGAAUGUUAUUCACUCAUAACUUAACUUGAAAUUUCCUUCCAAUUUUUUUUUCUCUAGUUAAUUUGCAAUUUUUUUAAUAAAUAAGUACAAUUAUACAGAUUAACGUGUACUUAGCUGUUUUUUGUUUUACUAUAUUUAGCUGAUUGUUGAACGCCAGAACUUGGGUGAUUUUUUUUUUUGGUUGACUAAUAACUUGUGGAAAUGUUUGAAUACGAAUGCUCUUUCCAGAUUUACCUCACCUAAUAAUCUAGUCUAGUCAAUAAUAAUAAUAAUAAUAAUAAAUGGUGUUUAUACGCAAUAAAAAUGUGGUUUAUUUGGCUAACUAACUUUUUUCUGAAUUUAUUCGACUUAUUAAUUGAUUUAAGAAUUUAAAUGAACAUGUAUAUAAUUUAAAAAUUAAUGGUGCAAAUUAAAUAUAAUAUAGAAAAAAUAAUUUAAUAAAAAAAAUUAAAUACUAAUCGAAAAAAUGUUGAACAUAAUAGAUCGCAGACAUAAUUUAGUAAAAAAUAAUUUAUAUAUUUUAGAAGUAGAAGUUAUUUAUAGGUAGUCGUGGAAGAAGCUAAAAGAGUGGUAAGAGAAAGACCGACGUGGCGAGCAUGUAGGUAAAGAGAAGAAAGAUUUCGAUAGAGAUCGUACGGUGGGAAGGUAAUUAGAUGCAGAGAGCGUGCAUAGCAUACGAAUACGAUGAGUUGUUGUGUGCUUUUCUUUUAACUAACUACCCCCACUCUCAGAAUCAAUCUAGUCUCAAGUCUCACAGACAUAAAAACAAACACAAACGCUAACCGUGCAUAGCAUACGAAUACAAGAAGAUGGCGUUGGCUGUUCCUGCUGUUCCUUUCACGUACGGUGUUCACCUUCUUGGUCUUGUCGCCAUCGUAUUAGUGUUGCUUUGGAACUUACAUUUCAGGGGUGGUUUGGCUUGGAAUUCUUCCAACAAGGCUCUCAUCUUCAAUGUACUACUACUCUCUCUCUCUCUCUUUAUUCUUUUUUAACUUCGUCGAUUUCGUAUUAACCGUUUUUAGGUUUUGUGUUUCUCCUUGUUCUGCAAAAUUGAAUGUUAUUCACUCAUAACUUAACUUGAAAUUUCCUUCCAAUUUUUUUUUCUCUAGUUAAUUUGCAAUUUUUUUAAUAAAUAAGUACAAUUAUACAGAUUAACGUGUACUUAGCUGUUUUUUGUUUUACUAUAUUUAGCUGAUUGUUGAACGCCAGAACUUGGGUGAUUUUUUUUUUUGGUUGACUAAUAACUUGUGGAAAUGUUUGAAUACGAAUGCUCUUUCCAGAUUUACCUCACCUAAUAAUCUAGUCUAGUCAAUAAUAAUAAUAAUAAUAAUAAAUGGUGUUUAUACGCAAUAAAAAUGUGGUUUAUUUGGCUAACUAACUUUUUUCUGAAUUUAUUCGACUUAUUAAUUGAUUUAAAUGCU
rnacentral:lncRNA from 1 species